AAGUCGUAACAAGGUUUCCGUAGGUGAACCUGCGGAAGGAUCAUUAAUGAAAUACACCUCGCUGUGCGCUUCGCGGCUGCACGCUUGGGAUAUUAUCCACACCUGUGCACUUUCGAUUGGCUUCGGCCUUUCGCUUCACACUUACUACGUCUGUCUUGAAUGUCAUUUACUUUAUAUAAUACAACUAUCAGCAACGGAUCUCUUGGCUCUC
rnacentral:misc_RNA from 1 species